UGGGGAAUCUUGCGCAAUGGGGGAAACCCUGACGCAGCGACGCCGCGUGCGGGAUGAAGGCCUUCGGGUUGUAAACCGCUUUCAGCAGGGACGAGGCCUUAUGGUGACGGUACCUGCAGAAGAAGCUCCGGCUAAAUACGUGCCAGCAGCCGCGGUAAUACGUAUGGAGCAAGCGUUAUCCGGAUUCAUUGGGCGUAAAGCGCUCGUAGGCGGUCUGUUAGGUCGGCAAGUUAAAUCCGGGGGCUCAACCCCCGUCCGCUUCCGAUACCGGCAGACUUGAGUUUGGUAGGGGAAGGUGGAAUUCCUAGUGUAGCGAUGGAAUGCGCAGAUAUUAGGAAGAACACCGGUGGCGAAGGCGGCCUUCUGGGCCAUAACUGACGCUGAGGAGCGAAAGCUAGGGGAGCGAACAGG
rnacentral:rRNA from 1 species